CGGACAUAAAAGGAGAAAGCAGCGCCCGCGGAGCGGCCGGCCGGCCGGCGGCCCCGCGCUCCGCUGACCCCGGCAUCCGCUCCCGGCCCGCAGCCCGGGAAAGAGGAGCGCGCCCCGCCCCUGCAGCCCGCCGGCCCGGGUUCGAAUCCCGGCUCGCCGCCUCCCGAGCCUGCUUUCCCUCCUGGUAAAUGAACACCCGCCGCUGGACGCCUACCUCCGGCCCCGCCCCCUCCCGCUCGCUUGUCACUCGAAAAACCCAACCUGUGCUGCAGUCCCCGGAGAAGAAAAGGGUCCUUCCUGGGAAAAGGUGGCCUAUGCUGCCACCUGGUGGCGAUGCUGAGCUCUUCUGGGGUUCUGAGGAAGCCCGGGCCGGCGCCAGCCCAGGAACUCGGUGCUGCUGAGGCAGGCCCAGGGCAGUGAGAUGUGCAGAGUCACGGGCUUUGGAGGAGCUUGUGGAGGCCUCCUUCUGGAUAAGGGGCCUUUCUCAGGCCUGGCCCGGACCCACCAGGGAGCGCUGGUUCCUGCUGAAGCCCCAAGCAUUCAGGAGGCCACGGCCCGGAGGGUUUUGGGGAGGAAUGCAGUCCUGGCAUGUGGCCAGGCCCGAAGGUUCACCUUCAUGAAGACCCAGACAGUCUUGGGGCUGUGCCUGGCUGGGCAGGGAGCCUGCAGCCAAGGGCUCAGAGGCUGGACUGGGGCUCUAGUCUGACUAAAACUCCAGUCCUGUUCCUCACUAUAGAACGUUCUAUUGCAGGAGGCCAAACCCUGGCUUCCUCCUCUCCCCUUGGCCUUUGAGGGCCUCCUGCCCUUGCUCUCAGAAUUGUCAGGAAGGAUCGGGGUCAUUGUGAACAACCUUUACCAGAAGGGCACCCAGAAUGCUUCUUGUCUCCUUUCUUCCCUACCCACCACCCCUGCCUGGCCCUCCCCCUCCCCCAAAGAAUACGUGUUGCUAUGAGACAAACAGUAAGACAGACAGAGAGACAGGGAAGUGCUGCUCUGAGAUGGUGUGGAAAGCAGUUAAUUUCCUUGUUUCUGCAGGUGGCUUCUGGGGACAGGUGUCACUUCCUUCCAUCUACCUCCCAGCCAGGCUGGUACACAGACCUUUCUCCUCUGGCUUCAGAGUCUUAGGUCUCUAGUCGACAGUGUCUCGUUCUUGCUCCAUUAACUCUAAAUGAGCUUUGGCAAGCCCCUUGUGGUGUCUGGGGCUCAGUUUCCUCAUCCAUAAGACAAGAUGACUGGCCUGACAAGAUGAUGGCUCCUCCCUUGAUAGGGAGCAGGUGGAGGGGAUGAAGGGAUGGAGGCAACUGUGUUCAGGGGAAAGAGCUCCCCAGCCAAGGCACGGAACCUGAAGCUGAUUGCACCAGAAAUAGAGACAGAGAUGGAGCGGGACGGAGUCAAGAAGAGGGAGUUAGCAGUAAGAGAGAUAUUGAAAGAGGAAGAGCAUGUUCCAGACAGAGAUGAAGAGAUAAGGCCAUCCACGGACAGAGGCAGAGAUAACGGGGAGGACACACACACAGAGAGAGAGAGAGAGUGAGAAACAGAGAUACAGAGAUACGGAGACCAAGACUGAGAGAUAAAGACAGGAACAGGGCAGCCAUAAAGGAUUAGAAAGAGAUCCAGGAGGGUGAGCAGGAAAGACGGCAACAGAGCGUUCUGCUUCCUGGGGGUUAAGCAAGAUUCUGCUGUUGCCUACACUGUGCCCCGGUCUGGUGGUCACUCUUCUGACCUUCGGAUUUCCUCUGGCCCCCCGAUCUAAAUGUCCUCCAGACAUCAUGUCCUUGGGGGUAAUGUGUGCAGAGAUGAGAGUGGCUCAGGCUAGGGGCGUCUGAGGCUUCAUGGCCCCAGGGCUUCAUUAAAGGGUAGGGAUAAAUGGUGGGGAAUGAGAGAUGACUGAAGGUUAUUACAGGCAAGAGGAUGCAGUUAGGGUUGGGAGAAGAGCAAGGAGGUGGAAAGUCCAAAGCAAAAUUUCCCCAUCUUUCUUUUAAGGAGGCAUUAACUCUGGGUCUGACUAUUUAGGGACAGAGAGGAAAUCUGGUAGUGAGUCAGGGUUGGAAUGCAGAUAUUAAGUGUUGGAAAGAAGGAGAUACAAAGGGAGAAAAACUGAGCUGGGCGGCAUGGGUUUGGUUGAGUUGAAUUAUGUUUGGUUGGGUUGAGCAUAGUUGGUUUGGUUCGGGUGGAGUAGAAUUGUGUUAUAUCAUGUAGGGGUGGGUGGGGUGAAUAAAAUUCAGUUUGAUUGGAUUGAAUGGAAGAUGGGUUUGGGUUUGGUUGAGUGGAGCAGAGCUGAGCUAGUUUGCCUUGAAUCAAACUUAGUAGACUUAAGCUGAGUUGGGUUGUGUUGAGUGGAGUUGAGUUUUAUUGAACUGGAUUUGGUGGGGUGAGUGGAAGUAAAUUGAGUUGGGUUGACUUGAGUUGAAUUUAGGAGAGUUGUGGUGGGUUGAGUUGAGUUCAGUUCGGUUGGAUUGGUGUGGAUAAGAAAGUUAAAAGACUCCAAGCAGACAGGAGUGAAGACGAACCCAGAUCCAGCAUAGUCUAAAUUAUGUUGCCAGGGAAGGAAAUGAAGUGAGAUACCAAGGAGACACCUGGUGAGGGGAGAUAUGCCAGGCUGCGAUCUAAGCAGAUCUGUGAGCCUGAGAUGGUUUGGCAUAUAAAUGAUCUAUUUCAGUGUUUCCCAAACUCUUUCCUCUCUGCACUUCUUCUGGUGUGGAGGUUAACUAAGGCUUUGAUUUACAUCUUGCCAUCAGAAGAAUGGAAUACCAAAAUCUCAUUGAAUGUGUACAUGUGCGUGUGUGCAUUUGUGUGUGUGUGUGUGUGCUUUGAAAAAAUACCUCGAGGUGAUUCUUAAAUGCCUCCCUAGUGAGGGUAUCUCCUGUUGAGAAUCAAUAUCCCAUGGAAUUUUUUUUCCAGCUUGAAAUGUAUUUGAUUGAAAUGUAUUUGACAUGUAACAUUGGUAAGUUUAAGGUGUACAACAUGAUGAUUUGAUAGAUUGUGCGUUGUGAAAUGUUUACCACAAGAAUGUUAGUUAACAAAUCUAUUACCUCACCUACUUCCUAUAUCUGUGUGUUGAGAACAUGUAAGAUCUACUCCCUUAACAACUUUCAAGUAUACAACACAGCGUUACUAACCGUAGUUACCACAGUGUACAUCAAAUCCUCAGAACUAACUUAUCUUUAACUGGAAGUUCGUACACCUUGUCACCCGUUUUCCCCACUUGCCAGCCUCUGGCAACUACCAGUCUGCUUUCUGUUCCUGUGAGUUUGGUUUUUUGG